GUUAUACGUGUGUGCUACCUUCAAGGAACUUAUAGUCUGAUAGGAUAUUAACAUACAGUUUUUAUUUAUGUUAUUAUUCAAAUAACUUCUGACUCUAAAUGGCAUAACACGACCAAGGUUUACUUCUUACUCAUACCACAUGCCCAUUGUGAAUCAGCUGGGUCCUCGCUCUUACUGCUUCUUCCCUUAAGGGGCUCAUGUCAGUUCCGCUCACAUUUCCUUGGCCAAAGCAAAUUAAACAGUCACACAUAACUUCAAAGUUUUGAUAAAUACAAACCUACAACGAGUCUGGAAAUGGAGAAAGACCUGAAAACUCUGGUCAGUUCAGUUUAGUCUAGUCACUCAGUCGUGUCUGACUCUUUGAACCCCACGGACUGUAGCAUGCCAGGCCUCCCUGUCCGUCACCAGCUCCUGGAGUUUACCCAAACUCAUGUCCAUUGAGUGAUGCCAUCCAAUCAUCUCAUCCUCUGUCAUCCCCUUCUCCUCCUGCCUUCAAUCUUUCCCAACAUCAGGGUCUUUUCAAAUAAGUCAGUUCUUCAUGUCACGUGGCCAAAGUAUUGGAGUUUCAGUUUCAACAUGAGCGCCGAAGAAAUGAUGCUUUUGAACUGUGGUGUUGGAAAAGACUCUUGAGAGUUCCUUGGACAGCAAGGAGAUCCAACCAGUCCAUCCUAAAGGAGAUCAGUCCUGAGUUCAUCAGAAGGACUGAUGUUGAAGCUGAAAACUCUGGUAAACAGACCAAUUAAUGACCACAUUCUGGGAAGAGGAACAGCCUUAAUGCCUCAUGCCCCAGAUUACAAACAAUGAAAGACGGAAAGAUCUAGUGCCAUUGAGUGGAUGCAUUCAAGACAGAUGUCCUAAGGACUCAGGAGACAAUCAUGCCUGGACCCAAGACCUCAUUGAAGUAUCCUGAGAAAGUGAAGACCUGCACUGAGUCUUGAAGAGUGGGAUGGACUUAGAUGGACCUACAAGACCAGAUCAGUUACAUCCACCUUGACCUUCAAUAAGGUGAUGGUAAUAUACCACCAGUCACUCUCAUGAACUACAUAAGUGCUUUCAGGCCUGGAGAGACCACCCAAAUGACUGCCUGAAGUUGGUUUGCCCAAACAAGGUCUACACAUUGCUUUGGUCGAUACGCCUCUUAAAUCUGGUUUAACUUAGUUCUCCCUCCGUCGCCACUCCCCACCUACUACGCCCUGGACUAGUGGUACAUUUUGAGGCAAUCUUUCCAACCCCAGUGAACUCGCUGUUCUCUGAUUUCCGCUAGUGACUCAUCUCUCCUGAUCAACAAAUAACAG
ensembl:lncRNA